AGACCGCGAGGUGGAGCAAAUCUCAAAAAGCCGUCCCAGUUCGGAUCGCAGGCUGCAACCCGCCUGCGUGAAGUUGGAAUCGCUAGUAAUCGCGGAUCAGCAUGCCGCGGUGAAUACGUUCCCGGGCCUUGUACACACCGCCCGUCACACCAUGAGAGUCGGGAACACCCGAAGUCCGUAGCCUAACCGCAAGGGGGGCGCGGCCGAAGGUGGGUUCGAUAAUUGGGGUGAAGUCGUAACAAGGUACC
rnacentral:rRNA from 1 species